GGCGAGUUAGCUCAGUCAGUUGAGCGUGGCGCUAACAAUGCCAAGGUUGUGGAUUCGACUCCCAUUUGGUCC
rnacentral:tRNA from 1 species